rnacentral:rRNA from 1 species
UACGGAGGGUGCAAGCGUUACUCGGAAUCACUGGGCGUAAAGCGCGCGCAGGCGGUUAGGAAAGUCAGAAGUGAAAUCCUACGGCUCAAUCGUAGAACUGCUUCUGAAACUCUCUAACUAGAGUGUGGGAGAGGUGAGUGGAAUUAGUGGUGUAGGGGUAAAAUCCGCAGAGAUCACUAGGAAUACCAAAAGCGAAGGCAACUCACUGGAACAUUACUGACGCUGAGGCGCGAAAGCGUGGGGAGCAAACAGGAUUAGAUACCCUGGUAGUCCACGCCCUAAACGAUGAAUGCUAGUCGUUGGAGUGCUAGUCACUUCAGUGAUGCAGUUAACACAUUAAGCAUUCCGCCUGGGGAGUACGGUCGCAAGAUUAAAACUCAAAGGAAUAGACGGGGACCCGCACAAGUGGUGGAGCAUGUGGUUUAAUUCGAAGAUACGCGAAGAACCUUACCUGGCCUUGACAUCCCAAGAACCCUCCAGAGAUGGAGGGGUGCCCCUUUUUGGGGAACUUGGUGACAGGUGCUGCACGGCUGUCGUCAGCUCGUGUCGUGAGAUGUUGGGUUAAGUCCCGCAACGAGCGCAACCCUCGUGUUUAGUUGCUAACAGUUCGGCUGAGCACUCUAGACAGACUGCCUCCGCAAGGAGGAGGAAGGUGAGGACGACGUCAAGUCAUCAUGGUCCUUACGGCCAGGGCGACACACGUGCUACAAUGGGUAGGACAAUGAGACGCAAUACCGCGAGGUGGAGCAAAUCUAUAAACCUACUCUCAGUUCGGAUUGUAGUCUGCAACUCGACUACAUGAAGCUGGAAUCACUAGUAAUCGUAGAUCAGCCAUGCUACGGUGAAUACGUUCCCGGGUC